rnacentral:rRNA from 1 species
UACGGGGGGGGUAAGCGUUGUUCGGAAUUACUGGGCGUAAAGGGCUCGUAGGCGGCCAACUAAGUCAUACGUGAAAUCCCUCAGCUUAACUGGGGAACUGCGUGUGAUACUGGAUGGCUUGGAUUUGGGAGAGGGAUGCGGAAUUCCAGGUGUAGCGGUGAAAUGCGUAGAUAUCUGGAGGAACACCGGUGGCGAAGGCGGCAUCCUGGACCGGUAUUGACGCUGAGGCGCGAAAGCUAGGGGAGCAAACGGGG